AACCCCACCGAUGUUUCCGCCAGAGACGCUGUUCACGGAGACGAGCUGCGCGGGCUGCGUGGGCUGCGCAAGCUGCGCAGGCGCCCUCCGCUACAGAGUGGCCGCGAUGUGUCUGGCGCUGCUGUGCGCGCUCUUACUCGCUGUCAUCGCGCACCUCUGGGCAUCCUGUGUGUGUUACACCCCUUUACUCUGUCUGUUGCGAGCAUCAGUGUUAAUGUUUGAACAAAACGCUCCGAGCCGUGUGUGUUUUACAUCGUUUCGCAUCCGCAUGCAGUGAACAGAGCAAAGGAGCAUCACGCGGCCGCUGAAGGAAGGGUGGCGCAGCUCGACUCAAACUGCAGCCUUCUGGCUGAGCAGAGAGGCCUCCUCCAGGGCCGCUACAGCGCUCUGCAGGACAACUGCAGCUCCUUGGCUGCAAGUAAAGUGAAACUGCAGGAAAGCUACGACAUCCUACUAGUGGAGACGGGCCAGCUGCGGGAAAAGUGCAACAAAAUUAAAAUCAAGGCUGAUAUCUGCGGCCCCUGUCCCUGCGGAUGGGAGAUGUUCGGCUACAACUGUUACUAUGUCUCUGGGAUGAAAUGGAAUUGGCAUGAUAGUAAAUCUUACUGCAGCAGAUAUGAUGCGCACCUGGUGACAAUAAACGAUAACCAAGAGCUGUUAUUCAUCAAACGACUGAUAGGAUCUGAUAGCUACUGGAUCGGGUUGAUAUACAAGGGAAAUUCAGAAACCUGGAUGUGGGAGGACAACACCCCUAUGAAGGAAGGGUUCUGGGUACAAGGUUCCCAGUACAGUGAUAAACCCUGUGCUUAUUAUGAUCUAUCCAGAAAUCGAUGGAUUUCUGCAUAUUGUUAUCAGAAAUUUUUCUGGAUCUGUGAGACUGAGGCAAUGGAACUCUACUAGCAUGUUAUAUCAUAAACUAUUUAGACUGAAUUUGAUGGAGCUAAUUGAGUUUUAUGAAAUUAUGAGAGUGUUUUCUGAAUUUUUGCUGAAGAAGGGCAUUAAAAUUGAAUACAUAUCAGAAUAAUCAUAUUCUCAUUCUACUAAAUA